rnacentral:rRNA from 1 species
UACACUCCUACGGGAGGCAGCAGUGGGGAAUUUUGGACAAUGGGCGAAAGCCUGAUCCAGCAAUGCCGCGUGAGUGAAGAAGGCCUUCGGGUUGUAAAGCUCUUUUGUCAGGGAAGAAACGGUGAGAGCUAAUAUCUCUUGCUAAUGACGGUACCUGAAGAAUAAGCACCGGCUAACUACGUGCCAGCAGCCGCGGUAAUACGUAGGGUGCAAGCGUUAAUCGGAAUUACUGGGCGUAAAGCGUGCGCAGGCGGUUUUGUAAGUCUGAUGUGAAAUCCCCGGGCUCAACCUGGGAAUUGCAUUGGAGACUGCAAGGCUAGAAUCUGGCAGAGGGGGGUAGAAUUCCACGUGUAGCAGUGAAAUGCGUAGAUAUGUGGAGGAACACCGAUGGCGAAGGCAGCCCCCUGGGUCAAGAUUGACGCUCAUGCACGAAAGCGUGGGGAGCAAACAGGAUUAGAUACCCCGGUAGUCCCA